UGAAAAGAUAUUCAACCCUCCUAGCAUCUAACGUAGGAGCUGCUGUUGCAUGAAGGAGCCCUCUAGAUUGCUAACAAAACAUAAUCCCUGCUACCUACGCCAAGAGGCACCUUAUAUGCAGAAUGGAAGGAGCAACUAACCUGAGCGCAAUGUCUUUCCAGGGGCUGUUGCUGGCGUCUUCCUCUUGUUUAUUUCUAGAUUGUGAGUGCUUUUGGGACACAGACUCAUCUUAUACCUCUGGAUAUUAUUAAGUAUCCUUAAUAACAAUAGUCAGCUCUCUCACACAUCUAUAAUCUUGAGGGUUCUUGGGCGGAAGUCAGGAGAGUUAAACCAGUUUCAAACUGAUUUACAAGACAGAUGCUCUUUAUUUGUAUCAAGGAUGUCGCACCACUUUUUCUUGCCUUGUCUUACUAACAAGUCUAUCCUUCUAGGAUUUCUAGAUUUGAGUCUGACGGUGGUCUGAGUGGCUCCAAAGGCUGUGAUCCCACCCUCUCUGAGCAUAAUUUCACAUGGUUCAGCAGCAUCAGCAGGGACAAAGGCACACCUGCCCUCAGGGUUCAAAAGCAAAACUGUGUCGAAGGUGGCUGACAAUAUUAAAAAUACAACAAACAAGCAUAUAUUCAUUGCUACCCUAUAAUUUUCGAGUUGGGAGGGGCCUUGGAGAUCUCCUGGUCCAACCCUUGCUCCAUGCAGGCAUCUGCUACAGAAUUCAUGAGAGAUGGAAGUCCACUCUCUUAUCUGGAGAACACCUCACCAUCACUAGACAAGAUGGACUGUUACGAGGACAAGCAUGCAUUGAAAGCAAGUACGCAAAGACUUUUCUUCAGUGAGAAUUCUAGGUUGGGGAGCCAGCCUUACCUUGGGAUAUCUGCCAAUUUCCAUGAUGCUUUCUGGAGAGUAGAGCUCCCGCAGUCGGGUCGUCCAGGGUCCGGCUGCCCGGAUGUGCAGACUCAGCGUGUCCUCGUGGGGGGCAGAGGUCAGAGUGAAGGGGUGGUACUCAUUGGUUCCCAGAGACAGACAGGCAAUCCGUACCCACUGCCCUGACCUGUAAUCAAAGUCCUGGGGCCUCUGGAAUUCAAGGUGAGUGACACCUGGGGGGAGACAAAUGGGAUUCCCCAGUGGUGGCCAUUACAGCAACAAGCCAGCCAUGCUGUCUGAACAACUGUUGGUUCUGUAAGUGUGUGUAGGACUGCAGCCUAACUGAAAAGUUCAGUGUACUUUUUUCUCCUUUUGUGGUUAUUAAUAUCUCAGACUGUGUACA